rnacentral:rRNA from 1 species
UACGUAGGGUGCGAGCGUUGUCCGGAAUUAUUGGGCGUAAAGAGCUCGUAGGUGGCGGGUCACGUCGGGUGUGAAAGCCCGGGGCUUAACUCCGGGUCUGCAUUCGAUACGGGUUUGCUGGGGUCCGGCAGGGGAGACUGGAAUUCCUGGUGUAGCGGUGAAAUGCGCAGAUAUCGGGAAGAACACCCGUGGCGAAGGCGGCUCUCUGGGACGGUACUGACGCUGAGACGCGAAAGCGUGGGAGCGAGUCCGG